UCAUGGCUCAUUCUUAGACGCACGCAUCACCGUAGGUUUUUAACCUUCAACAGACCCCCUAACCAAUCAAAAACCGCUCGAUCGACGAUUCGCAACUGGGGAAAAAAACCCGUUUCCAAACAGUGUCUAAUUUGGAAGGUUGAAUUCAGGGAAAGGAAAAUUGAAAAAAAAAAAAAAAGGAAAGUUGGGGCUCAUUGCUAUUUGCCUCAACUCAAGACAAUUACUCGGUGCCUUUCUAUUGUUUGGUUUUGUCCUCUCUCUCUAAAACAGUUGCGUUGAACUGCUGCAGAGACCAAUUUGAAUCUUUACCUAUAUCUGCAUUCUGAUAUGAGGCCAAAUGGAAAAAUGACUUGGGAAAUUUAGAUGAUCCAGGAAUUACAAGUCUUUGUGAGCUCCUUGAUGGGAGUACUGAUGUGGAUGCCUCACUGAAAAGACGUAUGAAGAAUACCUGGAAGCCCAUGACAGAACCAGCAAAUGAUUAUUACUUUAAUAUGGUUAGUUGAAUGGGGGCAAGAUGUUGGGUCCUAUUGAUUGGAAGUUCGAUUGAUUGCAUUAGAGUUCUGAAGUUCUAUUAGAUGACUGCACCAUAUCACACAAUACAGGAGUCAACAAGUAGAAACCAUGGUGAUGAUUCAAACUCAAGUUUGGUAACUGACCGUCGCCAUUCUCGCAAGG